GGUGGUGGUAACUGUUUCAGACAAAGUGCUUUAUCAAGUAAUAAAGUAGUGUCUAUACUGAGUGAGUGAGGCAGGCAUCGAGUGAGUGAGGCAGGCAUCGAGUGAAUGAGGCAGGCAGGCAUCGAGUGAAUGAGGCAGGCAGGCAUCGAGUGAAUGAGGCAGGCAGGCAGUGAGUUAGUGAGUGAGGCAGGCAGUGAGUUAGUGAGUGAGGCAGGCAGUGAGUUAGUGAGUGAGGCAGGCAGUGAGUUAGUGAGUGAGGCAGGCAGUGAGUUAGUGAGUGAGGCAGGCAGUGAGUUAGUGAGUGAGGCAGGCAGUGAGUGAGUGAGGCAGUGAGUGAGUGAGGCAGGCAGGCAUCGAGUGAGUGAGGCAGGCAGGCAUCGAGUGAGUGAGUGAGGC
ensembl:lncRNA